UACGGAGGGAGCUAGCGUUGUUCGGAAUUACUGGGCGUAAAGAGCGCGCAGGCGGUCGUUCAAGUCGCGUGUGAAAGCCCCCGGCUCAACUGGGGAGGGUCACGCGAUACUGAUCGACUGGAAGGCAGGAGAGGGUAGUGGAAUUCCCGGUGUAGUGGUGAAAUGCGUAGAUAUCGGGAGGAACACCAGUGGCGAAGGCGACUACCUGGCCUGUUUCUUGACGCUGAGGCGCGAAAGCUAGGGGAGCAAACGGG
rnacentral:rRNA from 1 species